rnacentral:rRNA from 1 species
GACGAACGCUGGCGGCGUGCUUAACACAUGCAAGUCGAACGGAAAGGCCCUGCUUUUGUGGGGUGCUCGAGUGGCGAACGGGUGAGUAACACGUGAGUAACCUGCCCUUGACUUUGGGAUAACUUCAGGAAACUGGGGCUAAUACCGGAUAGGAGCUCCUGCUGCAUGGUGGGGGUUGGAAAGUUUCGGCGGUUGGGGAUGGACUCGCGGCCUAUCAGCUUGUUGGUGGGGUAGUGGCUUACCAAGGCUUUGCCGGGUAGCCGGCCUGAGAGGGUGACCGGCCACCUUGGGACUGAGGUACGGCCCAGCCUCCUACGGGAGGCAGCGGUGGGGGAUAUUGCACAAUGGGCGGAAGCCUAGUGCAACAACGCCGCGUGCGGGAUGACGGCCUUCGGGUUGUAACCCGCUUUCGCCUGUGACGAAGCGUGAGUGACGGUAAUGUGUAAAGAAGCACCGGCUAACUACGUG